CUUGUCCGACGGGGCGGGAGCGUCCCUGGCUCCUUGGACUCCCAAGUGUGUGUCUGAAGAGGGGUGUUAGCGGGGGCAGCCAGAAUCCCCUCCUCAGCCUCUAGGAGGGCGAGACCCAGACGCCUCUUCUGUCUGGUGGUCUACAAGGGGCCGUGGGGCGCACCCGGAUCCUGCAGACCCCAGCCGGGGAGGUGCCGUUCGCGGCCCAGCUGCACGCAGAAGUAAACAUCUGUCAGUGGCGCGUUGUGGCCGCCGCCGCCGCCGCCGCCGGGGACACGGUGUCCUCCGGGAAAUCAGGCUUCGGGCUGUCCUGGAAGGAAUUCAGUGAGGGGCCCCUGCGUGCAGCAGCCUCACCCGGGCUGCCCAGGUCCCGGGCACUGUGACGGCAUCAAGAGAGCAAAUUUGGAGUCAGACCCAGGUUCAACUGCAGCUCAGCCACUUAGUUCCUGUAUGACCCUGAGCAAGUCACUCUACCUCUCCAAGCCUCCGCUUCCCCAUGUGGAAAAUGGUGGGGGUGGGGGUGGGGAGGAAAAACAGCAUCUUUUCCUGGGACUCUGGGGAAACUAAGCAUGUGGAAAGCACUUGGCACAAUGCUCGGCAGUGAAUAAAUGGAAAGCUGACAUUGCCGGGGUGUUAAUGUGAUUAUUGUUGUUGUUAGAGAGGCCGUAUGGUACAGUGGUUAAUAAUGUGGAGGAGGGGGUGUUGGGUCUGGGGCUUUGAAGGAUGAGUAGGAGUUUGCCCGACCACCGGCUCUCAAAUCCCAGUUUGGCUGCUUAUACUCUGACUCUGAGGAAGUCAAGUGAAAUUUCUUUGGACCUCAGUUUUCCCUUCUACAAAACGGGAGGGGAGUCAAAUAGUCCAUGCCUUGCUCUGAGUAGCUAUGUGUAAAGUGCUUAGAAUGGCACCAACCGUGUUGUUUGCUAGGGUAGCGUUAGCUGUUUUUUUCUCUUUUUACCACGAAGCAACCAGCAAAGUACCCCCCCAGAAAUCAUUCUCCCCAUCUGUCCGCCACUCAGAUUCACUUUGGUGAAGACGCACUCAGAGCCCCUUAAGAAAACCUCAGGAGCCAAGACUCCAUUCUGAGAGUAGCAGGGAGCCUGUGAUGGUUCUAGAGAUUAGGCAGCAGGCAUUUUCUGGGUUGGAGGAAGAAGCUGUGCCCCCCACUCUGGCCAGUCCUGGAAGGGUCAACCAGGGGUGUCUGUGACUGCAGGCCCCCCAUGAGACUGCCCCAGGGGCUGGCCCCUGGCCCCCGCCACAGACACGGCAUCAGAACCAGCUGUGCUAACCAGAUGUUCCUUGUUUACCCCCAGAUGUGCGUUGCCGGCUCGAGGCUGCCCCUGCCUCCCCGUCCCCAUCAUGGGGUGGGGCUGGGGCCUGGGGCCCUCCAAGGAAGGGGGCACAUUUUUGCGGGCUGCGGAAUCUGUGUCUUGUUUUACAGGACCAUUGAGGCUUGCUUUGAGAGAGGCCCAAAUCCCGCCCCUCCUGGGGCCUCAGUUUCCCCAUCUGUGGGAUACCGGGGAACCCUCAGGGGCCAUCUGGGAAAGAGGAGAAAGGCAGGACUCCCCUGGAAUAGGCCCAGCCGCCAGCCCCGGAGCUGUCGGCACUGGGCACUGACGGAGAUGAGGGAGGCCGAGACUCCUCCUCUCUGGGGAGGGAGUCUGUGGCCUCCAGCUCGAAGUGGACGUCUAUCCACGAUCCCUCUUGCUGCCAUUAAGACUGGUGCACCACCCAGGAAAGGAGAGUGCCCCCUUUCCUGGAGACAUGAGGAUUCUCAAGGGUCUGGACAUUUCCUGAGGGCUGGGAAGGGACUCCUGACCAAGCCCUGAGAUGCCAGCAGGUGUGGACCUGGGCCGGGCCGCAGUGGUGCAUUUCUGGCCUGGCCUUUCUGCCUCCGCCGUGCCCCUCCCUCUCCCUGGACACUCACUGUGUGUAUGCUGCCCAUUCUGCCCCCAGAAUUUUGGCCACUGAGGACCCAGCAGCCCUGGUGUCUUGCUCACAUGCGUGCCCUCGUGGGAGUGCAUGGUCAUAUGCAAGUUUGGGUGUGACUGGUGAUUGUACUGAAGUGUGCGAGUGUAAUCAUGCUUGAGGGUGUAAGUGUGAAAAACUCCUAUUGCAGUGUGCGAUCACAUCUGGGCACAAGUGUGAAGACACCGAGUGUGUUUCGGUGUGUGUGAAAAUGUCCACGUGCAUAAGUGUGAAAACAUGGGGUAUGUAAGGGAAAGGAUGGUCUCUGAGCUGGUGAUUGGGCAUGUCCAGGCGAGCACGUGCAAAUGUUUGGGUGUGUAUGAGUGACAGCCCCCAAGUGUGUGUGCAUGAGUGGAUCAGCAUGCACAUGAGGACCAGAAUGCUGGGUGUGAGUGUGAGUGAAUAAACCUCCCCAGGUCUAGGGGCCUCCACGACACAAGCACCCUGCCUGUGCCCACCUGGCCCCCGCCCCCGUGCCCUCCACCGCACAGCAGCACCCCUCCCAGUCAGGUCACAGACAAACCAGUCGGGUGACCCCCGGACAGAGAGGCCCAUUGUUAACAGAAGCUUAUCAGCCGCUGCUGCUGGACCCUCUCCACCAUCGGCCCCCUGCUUUCCUGUCCCCCAUCAGAGCUCCAGGGGGUCUGCCCCAAGGCCGCCAGGGGCUCUGGGCAUCUUGGGACUGGCGUCUCAUUCACUCUCUCAGGCCCCCGUUUUAAGCCCUUAGCAGAAACAGAGGCCCAGAACACCACUCGUGCAGGGGCCUCGGUGCGGCCUAGCAGGGAAGUUGAGGCACGCUGCUGCAAGACUCGGUUGUGAGGGCGAGCAGGGUGCUGGGGGUCCAGACAAGGUCAUGCCCACCUGACAUAGAUGGGAUCUGGGAUGAAGUAGGUGCUUGUUAAGAGUAAAGGGGGGUGGGAUUUGGGAAGUGACAAAUUUGAGGGCUGACUGCUUGCAGCACAGCCUUGAGAAUUAAUAUACUCCCCGGGGCCCGAGGCCCACGAAGCCCUGCUCCACCUGCCGCGUUCCCUCCCUGCUCCGCGCCCCCUUGCUCACCCUGCUCCAGCCCCGUGGACCUUGCUGUUCUCCCAACGCACCAGGCUCGGUCCUGCCCCAGGACCUUUGCACCUGCUGUGUCCUCAGAUCUCCAGCCUGGCCCGUCGGGGAACUUAUGUUCCAUCCACAUCACCAACCCUAAUAAAGGUGGCCGCAUGCAAUACCACCAGUAGUAGCAAGUCCUCCGGGUGACUGUACACAGCACUUGCAACCAAGCCCAGCCCGAGGGGGCUGUGUGGGGCCCUAGAACCCGAGCUCAAAUCCCAGAUCCCUUUUGAGCUGUGCUCUUGGACAAUCCCCUACCUAUUUUUUUUUUUGGUGGUUUCUUCCCAGUUUAUUUAAAAAUUCCUUUUAGUAUUAUUAAUCUACAAUUCCCCUACCUAUUUUGUGCCUCAGUUUCCCCAUCUGUAAAAUGGAGAUACAGUGCCCCCUUCGCGGGCUCAGCAACGGGUCUGGUACACAGCAGGUGCUUAAUAAAUGUAACCCGGACUCACUGUUGGGUGGGGGCAGGUCCCUCUCCCACGCACCCACGGUUGGGGACGUGGGGGAGUCGCUGAGGGUAACCGUCCAGGGUUCGACGCCCAAAAGUCACAACCAAAGAGAUGCAAAUGGCACGCAAAGAACUGCUCCCUGCCGGGUGUAGGGGCGGGGGCGCGCCAGAGGCCUGCGCGGUCAGCGUGGGGGCGCCCCGCAUCCCGCCGCCCAGCCCAGGCUGACCCGCGUCCCGCCCGGCUUUCUGCGCUUCGUCUAAAUGUUUACACCGGGCCUGCCGCCAGCCCCGCGCAGACCGACCCCAGGCGGCCGGGCGGGGGAAUGUAAACGCCGGCUGGGGGCCGCCCAGCGAGGGGCGCGGCUUGGACGGCGAGGGGGCGCCGUGUGUUACUCAGCACCUACUCUGUGCACUGAACACGACGCGGCUGUGCGGCCGCGACACUAGCAAUCUGAGUAAUGGGGGAAGCUGUGGGGGCCCAGGGCAGGCCUGGGGCCGGCCUGGAGGAGGAGCAGUUAGGGAAGGCUGCCCUGGAGAGGCGCCCUUCAAGCCGUCACUAAGCAGUGCGGAGGGAGAGAAGAGAAUUUUCAGGGUGGAAGGACCCGCUUGUGCAAGGGCCUGGACAUGGGUCGGGGCAGCUUUGGUCCUUCGCUGCCCACGUCUGGGCAUCAGUUUAUCUGGAGAUGAAACCCAGGCCCAGAGAUGGGCAGGAAGUCACUCCCAAGGACGUCAGCAGGUAGGGAGACAUCUCAGCCGGGGUUCUCGUCUCCUAGGCUGUUCGAAGUACCGUCUCCCUCCUCGCCCUAGUCCCACAGUGCCCCCUGCUGGGGACGCUCUCACCUCCUUCCACUCUUCCCAGCUCACUGGGCUCCCGCCACCUCCGGGCAGAACUUGCCAAGCUUGGUCCGGCCGCAGGACCUUUGCACUGACUGUUCACCUGCCUGAGGUGCCAUUCUCUUUGUCCUGGCAAACUCCUACCUUUGUUCAAAUCCCAAUUUUCCUCAAUCCUCAGGAAAGCACUCUGGGACCCUUAGAUGGGGGGGGGUUUCCGGGUUACCCCUGGCACAGAGCCUACCCACUCCUUGGCAGCAUAUUUCACAACCUUGUUCAGCGUCUCCUUGAGGAAAAAUUUCUGUUAUUACUGAUUAUUAAGCAGAAUCAGGGGUCCCACUGGGUCCCCUGUGCCUGGCCCACAGCCCCGUGCCAAUUUGUUGCCUGACUGGCCGUGUGGCCGACCACUCCGUGC